GACGAACGCUGGCGGCGUGCUUAACACAUGCAAGUCGAACGGAAAGGCCCUGCUUUUGUGGGGUGCUCGAGUGGCGAACGGGUGAGUAACACGUGAGUAACCUGCCCUUGACUUUGGGAUAACUUCAGGAAACUGGGGCUAAUACCGGAUAGGAGCUCCUGCUGCAUGGUGGGGGUUGGAAAGUUUCGGCGGUUGGGGAUGGACUCGCGGCUUAUCAGCUUGUUGGUGGGGUAGUGGCUACCAAGGCUUUGACGGGUAGCCGGCCUGAGAGGGUGACCGGCCACAUUGGGACUGAGAUACGGCCCAGACUCCUACGGGAGGCAGCAGUGGGGAAUAUUGCACAAUGGGCGGAAGCCUGAUGCAGCAACGCCGCGUGCGGGAUGACGGCCUUCGGGUUGUAAACCGCUUUCGCCUGUGACGAAGCGUGAGUGACGGUAAUGGGUAAAGAAGCACCGGCUAACUACGUG
rnacentral:rRNA from 1 species